rnacentral:misc_RNA from 1 species
GUACAAGGCAUUGAAAAUUACAAGAAAUAAAAGGUGGGAACGUGAGAUCACCACCUAAGAAAAAGGAAAAGAAAAAUUAAUAAAAAAGAAAAACAAAUGAUAAAGAAAUGGGAAUGAAAUGGAGAAUGGCAGCAGCCACCAGAGAGAUGGGCGGCUUGCCUUUUCAUGGCGUACGUUGACCCAGCAAAAUUUGUUGUCUUGUUCAAAAACAAAAUCUAAAAUCUUUGCAAACGCCCAGUUUUUGUAUAUGAUAGUAAUACAAUUUUAGUUCUUUACGAAAUUACAUUUCAAGACUCAAGAAACAGUUUCUGUACACAUGAAAAACCUAGUUCAGGCGAACUCAUCAACUCUCCUUUUCACUCUUUAUCUGCAAAGCAGAGUGUAGAUGCCGCGAAGAACUCUCAAAUUCUCUCACUGCAUCGGCCUUCUUCUUAAUCAAAUUUACCUUUAUGUAAAACCUCAAAAACAACAGCAGAAUAACGCCAUUCAGUACAGAGUUUAAGCCCCAAGCUACCAUCCCAUUGCACCCACCUUUCAAGAAAUGCAAGAAAAGCACCCCAAAAUGGCAGAGCAGAUUGCAUCCCAAAAGCACAACCUGACAGUUCGCUACGAAAAGGAAAUGUGCCCUUGGCAACCCUAUUGCAGUCCAGAAUCGGUACCCAUAAACCAGAGAGUAUAAUAAUGUUGUUAGAAGUAUAGCCAACACUUGGAAAGACUGAGAAAAUUCGAGCCAGAGAAAGGACAUGAACAAGAGGAUGGAUUGGUUGAAGAGAGUAAAGAAGGAGAGUUUACGGUACUGGAGGAUUGUGAAGAAUGUACGGAAUAGGUGAAGGAACCGGGAUAGGUAGAAAACGUAGGACCAGAAGAAGACUCGACCGGUGGGGCGCGUCCCAAGUGGGAAACAGAGAAGCCACUGGAAGGCAGUGGUGGUCUUGGUGCGGGGCCAGAACCAUCGCGUGUCACGGAUCUCGGCGGCGGUUGAGAAAAGUAAGCCGACAAAAAUGAAGGCGGAGACUAGCGCCACGGUGAGGCUGUGGAUGGCUGGGAUGGGGCCUAGUGGAAUCCCGCGAUUACGUCUGAGUAGGACGGAGAGGAGGAGGUGGAGUGUGAUGGAGGAGGCGAUGUAGAUGGCUAUAGCGGAGAAGAUGAAGAACCAGGUAGAACCCCAUGUCUGAGUAAUGCUCCACCGGAAGUUUACUAUUGAUGGGUGGUCCGUUAAGCAAUGUUUGAAGCUCUGUAACAUGGACAGUGCCAUGUUCAUAACUGGGGUUUAAACAAUCUAUAGCAGAAUUGCGACUCUGUUAGUAGCUCCUAGCAAAUUCUUAUUCCUUGCAGAUUCAGGAAAAAGUAAGAGCUUACAGCCAGCCAAGAAAAGAAAAAGAAAAUUUU